GCCAGGCGUGGUGGCGGGCGCUUGUAAUCCCAGCUACCUGGGAGGCUGAGGCAGGAGAAUUGCUUGAACCCAGGAGGUGGAGGUUGCAGUGAGCUGAGAUCACACCACUGCACUCCAGCCUGGGUGACAGAGCGAGACUCUGUCUCAA
ensembl:misc_RNA Metazoa_SRP Metazoan signal recognition particle RNA